rnacentral:rRNA from 1 species
CUACGGGAGGCACCAGUGGGGAAUAUUGCACAAUGGAGGAAACUCUGAUGCAGCAACGCCGCGUGGAGGAUGACACUUUUCGGAGCGUAAACUCCUUUUAUAUAGGAAGAAGAUGACGGUACUAUAUGAAUAAGCGCCGGCUAACUCCGUGCCAGCAGCCGCGGUAAUACGGAGGGCGCAAGCGUUACUCGGAAUCACUGGGCGUAAAGAGCGUGUAGGCGGAUUAAAAAGUCAGAAGUGAAAUCCUAUAGCUUAACUAUAGAACUGCUUCUGAAACUCUUAAUCUAGAAUAUGGGAGAGGUAGAUGGAAUUUCUGGUGUAGGGGUAAAAUCCGCAGAGAUCAGAAGGAAUACCGAUUGCGAAGGCGAUCUACUAGAACAUUAUUGACGCUGAGACGCGAAAGCGUGGGGAGCAAACAGGAUUAGAUACCCCUGUAGUC